UGACGAUUAGAUGAUAGUGAGGUGACGAUUAGAUGAUAGUGAGGUGACGAUUAGAUGAUAGUGAGGUGAUGGGAGGUGACGAUUAGAUGAUAGUGAGGUGACGAUUAGAUGAUAGGGAGGUGACGAUUAGAUGAUAGUGAGGUGAUAGUGAGGUGACAAUUAGAUGAUAGUGAGGUGACGAUUAGAUGAUAGUGAGGUGACAGGGAAGUGACGAUUAGAUGAUAGUGAGGUGACGAUUAGAUGAUAGUGAGGUGACAGGGAAGUGACGAUUAGAUGAUAGUGAGGUGACGAUUAGAUGAUAGUGAGGUGACGAUUAGAUGAUAGUGAGGUGACGAUUACGUGAUAGUGAGGUGACGAUUAGAUGAUAGUGAGGUGAUAGUGAGGUGACGAUUAGAUGAUAGUGAGGUGACGAUUAGAUGAUAGUGAGGUGAUAGUGAGGUGAUAGUGAGGUGACGAUUAGAUGAUAGUGAGGUGGUUGGGAGGUGACAGGGAGAUGGUUGGGAGAAGAAAAGACUGUUGUUUACUGCAGUUUGUGUGGAGACCUGAUUCAUCCCAUAAUUUAGCAGGUGGC
ensembl:lncRNA